rnacentral:rRNA from 1 species
GGGGAAUUUUCCGCAAUGGGCGAAAGCCUGACGGAGCAAUACCGCGUGAGGGAAGAAGGCUUUUGGGUUGUAAACCUCUUUUCUCAAGGAAGAACAAAAUGACGGUACUUGAGGAAUAAGCAUCGGCUAACUCCGUGCCAGCAGCCGCGGUAAUACGGAGGAUGCAAGCGUUAUCCGGAAUGAUUGGGCGUAAAGCGUCCGUAGGUGGUUUUGUAAGUCUGCUGUUAAAGCGUGAGGCUCAACCUCAUACAGGCGGUGGAAACUACAAGACUAGAGUGCGUUCGGGGCAGAGGGAAUUCCUGGUGUAGCGGUGAAAUGCGUAGAGAUCAGGAAGAACACCGGUGGCGAAAGCGCUCUGCUAGGCCGCAACUGACACUGAGGGACGAAAGCUAGGGGAGCGAAUGGGAUUAGAUACCCCAGUAGUC